AAAAUGAAAGAAAAAAAAGAGAGAAGAAAGGGAAAGGGGGAAGAGGGAGGUCCGAGAGGGAGAAAGUGCUGGGGAUGAGUGAGCUGCGACGGGGAGAAGGAAAGAGAGAUGGAGCUACCACCGUUCAGCUCACUGCCGUCGUUCGAGCUGUCGCCGACGUUGCACGCCAUCACGUCUCACCCGCCAUUGCUGUUCGUCGGUUCCAGUUGUCACUGCCGCCGCUGUACCGUCGAGAGGGAAGCCAUUUGCGCGUGCUAGAGUGUCGCCGUCAUCCUCAUCGCGACCUGUCACCAUCGCUGGAGCCAGCCACCUUCAUUGCCUCCUUUUGCCAGUGGCAAAGCUUGGAUCUUCGCCGUUUGGGUCGCGUGGAGGAGCCGCUGGGUGUCACCGUGCCUUGUCUCCGCUGCCUUUACCACCGGAAACAGCUGCUAAAUCCUCUAUAUUGGAUUGUGUAUCGGUGCUUGCAUGUCGUGCUCGGAGUUCGCGCCUGCUUCGUUUUGUUAUUUUAGUAAGUACUGUGUUUCAAAAAUCCUCGCAUUAGUAUUCUGUUAUGUUUGAUUAUAGACUCUGAGAUUUGGUAACAUAGGUUCAAAUUCUGAAUGUUGCAUGUCGCUUAUAUGUUGCUUUGGCUACUACGUCGUUCCUUUUAUUCCAGAUUUGGUAACCCGGGCUGCAUGUUACGAUUAAGGCUGUUUUUGCUAUUGAGAAAGUAAGCGGAGCUGAGGUUUCGGUUGCCAUUGAGUUCGAGUUGAGAGAAAAGAGUUUAGUUGACGCGUUUGGGUUAUAGUUUCGACUUAUCGAGGUAGGGACUUUUUCAGAAAACUAAAUUUUAUGAUUUUGAAUUGUUAUAUAUGGAUACUAAUGUGAGAAAUGUACCUUUAGUGAUUGUAUAAGUCUUAUGUAUUGUUUGGUUGUCUUGGAUGGAUAUGAAUGUUUGUUUGACUAGAUUAUUGUUUGGUUUUGUUAAAUGGAUGGUUCUUGAAGUUGUUUUUUUAGAGUUUAAUCUGUUGAAAAUUUAUUUGAGUUUGAAUCGGUUUUAUUGAAUUAUGAAAAUGAUAUGCAUGCACUUUUAGAAUCAGCUUGAUUUUGAACUAAUUUGGUUUUAAACCCGUUGAAGAAGGUUGCGGAAUAUUUUGGUUGGGACCCAAAAAGGGUGGCAAAGUCUAAGUUUUAGGGACGAUGUUGCCAAAUUUUUAUGAGAUUUAAGAUUCUGUUUUAAAAUGUGAUUUAGAAAAGGAUUGGAUUUGAGAGGCUCUAUUAUUUGGUUCGUGAUUUAUUAAGAAAUAGGUGUUUCGAAUUUAAUCUGUUUAAGUAAAGCUUAUGUUUUAAUAUUGAUUUAAAUAUGAAAGGACCUAUGUUUAGAAGUUCGAUUAAAGAAUUAUCUUUGGAGGCAUUUUAGUGAAUUUUAAAAGAAAUUGAACUUUGGUAAAUUAAAUUCGUUUUGCUUUUGAAGUAUUUUUUAAAUUUUGAUUUAGCAAGACUAAACAAUUCUGAGCCUUUGGGAAUGUUUCUGAUUUAAGAAUAAAAUGAAAAUUGGUUUUUGGACUUAAAUAAUUUUGGUUUUGAAUUCGGAACUUUUGGCUUACAUAGGGGUGGCAAACGGGCCUAAACCCGCCGGGACGGCCCGUGUAAUCCGCCAAAAAAGGCGGGCUGGGCUGAAAAAUUGGGACCGCCAAAUAACAAAAGCCCACCUAAUCCACACCGCUUAAACUGCAGGCUUUGGCGAGGCGGGACGGGAUUUUUCGCCGGACUUAGUAUUUUUUUGGCUAGGGGUAUUUUUACAAUUUUUUUGCCAAAAUCCAAACUUUUUCCAACCCAACUUACAAGAGAAUGAAUAUGAAAAUUGAGUAUUUUGGAUUAUGUUUAUUUUUUUUAGAGACAAUAUUCAUAAUUAUGUUUUGGAUUUUGAUUAUUUUGC